CCUACGGGAGGCAGCAGUGGGGAAUCUUAGACAAUGGGCGAAAGCCUGAUCUAGCCAUGCCGCGUGAGUGAUGAAGGCCCUAGGGACGUAAAGCUCUUUCAACUGUGAAGAUAAUGACGGUAGCAGUAGAAGAAACCCCGGCUAACUCCGUGCCAGCAGCCGCGGUAAU
rnacentral:rRNA from 1 species